CAAUAGCGUAUAUUAAAGUUGUUGCAGUUAAAAAGCUCGUAGUUGGAUUUGUGGCUGUCACGGGCGGCCUAUCACUUAGUGUUAGUGCUUGCCUGUGUCGCCAUCCUUAGGUGGAGCCCGUGUGGCAUUAGGUUGUCGUGCGGGGGAUGCCCAUCGUUUACUGUGAGAAAAUUAGAGUGUUCAAAGCAGGCUUAUGCCGUUGAAUAUGUUAGCAUGGAAUAAUAAGAUAGGACCUCGGUACUAUUUUGUUGGUUUGCGCACCGAGGUAAUGAUUAAUAGGGACAGUUGGGGGUAUUCGUAUUUCAUUGUCAGAGGUGAAAUUCUUGGAUUUCUGAAAGACGAACUACUGCGAAAGCAUUUACCAAGGAUGUUUUCAUUAA
rnacentral:rRNA from 1 species